ensembl:antisense Gm29331 predicted gene 29331
UUUUUUUUUUUACAAAGAGUUUGAUUUUAUUGAUAUUUAAAUAUAUUAAAUAUUUCACUGAAAUACAUGGUACGUCACCCUCCCCCACUCCGACAGUGGUUACAUUAUAAAACCAGAGCGUAAUGCCUCUGGCUUAACUAGAUGCAGACAGAGAAACCAAGGCAUCAGCUAACUCAGACCAGAGUCAGGGAGGCUGCAAGGGUCAGAGGCAGGCAAGGGCAGGCGAGGACAGAGUACAACCCUUGCAGGCUUCGUGAAGAUUGGGAGCCGGGGCUAGAGUCUAGCCAUGGUAGAUUCAGGCUGAAGGCUUGGGGCAGCCCAGUUCCAAGUUCCUAGGCUCCCAUCCCCUAGUACCAACAUCGGGGUCCUCAGAGAGGGAUCCCACACUACCCCAGUCAGAAAGCACACCAUGCCCCCAAGAGACAAGCUCAGGAACCCAGGAAAUGCCUGCACCUCUACCCACAAACCUCCAACAGUUCAAGUUCCAAGGAACACUAGAGAUUAAGCAGGUGCUUGGGUCCCUGCCCUAGGCAGGGGGACAGUCAUAGUGCAGACAUGUGGCCCCCAAAUGGCACUUAGGGAUUUGGCACAAAAAAGGACUCCUCUCCCCAG